rnacentral:rRNA from 1 species
AUUGAACGCUGGCGGCAUGCCUUACACAUGCAAGUCGAACGGUAACGGGCCUUCGGGCGCCGACGAGUGGCGAACGGGUGAGUAAUGUAUCGGAACGUACCUUUCAGUGGGGGAUAACGUAGCGAAAGUUACGCUAAUACCGCAUAUUCUGUGAGCAGGAAAGCAGGGGAUCGCAAGACCUUGCGCUGAUUGAGCGGCCGAUAUCAGAUUAGCUAGUUGGUGAGGUAAAGGCUCACCAAGGCGACGAUCUGUAGCGGGUCUGAGAGGAUGAUCCGCCACACUGGAACUGAGACACGGUCCAGACUCCUACGGGAGUCAGCAGUGGGGAAUUUUGGACAAUGGGGGCAACCCUGAUCCAGCCAUGCCGCGUGAGUGAAGAAGGCCUUCGGGUUGUAAAGCUCUUUCGGCCGGGAAGAAAUCGUAUCAGCUAAUACCUGGUGCGGAUGACGGUACCGGCAUAAGAAGCACCGGCUAACUACGUGCCAGCCGCCGCAGUAACAC